ensembl:lncRNA
ACACACACACACACACACACACACACACACACCCCAUGCCUCUCACCCACCACAACCACUAACACACAGAGGGACCCACAAACCAUCCCGUGCACACAGCCCCACCACGGCACGCAGAGAAACACAAUCUGACACACACAGCAGGGGGCAGCAGGGACACACACACACACACACUCACACACCAUGUCUCUGUCUCCCGGCAGGGACCGGCUCCCUGCGCUGUCACAGCCACAGCUCCGUCCUGCUCCGCGACCGGGGGGGUAAACACCUCGACAGCGUCGUCACCCACAAUGGCACCGAGUCCUGCGCCCCGGCCCACGGCGCCUGCAUGGAGGCUGCCAUCACCCUCAGCGCAGGGGGCAUGUCCGUGACUGUGAUCCAAAGGGGGUGCAGAGAUGGACACCCCAAGGGAGGGACCGAACCCCCCGCUGUGCCCAGCAGAUUCCUCCACAUCCAGGCCGAUGUCCGCUACUGCCAGUCUGACCAGUGCAAUGCCAAGGGGCUCGGGCUGGGGCGCCCUGGCCAGAGCACAGGUAACGGGAAUGGGGAAUGAGACAUGGGUCCUCUCCUCUCUGGGGGGUGCUGGCUCCCAUCUGGCCCCCGGGCAGGGACUGGCUGGCUCAGGGGGGCAGGGAAUGGGGCAGGGGCCUGUCCCCUCUGUGGGGCACCGGUUCUGAUCCGUGUCUCGUUGCAGCUUCGGCCCCCAGCGGCCCCACCCAGUGCUACGCCGGCCUGAGCCUCGGCCCCCAGCCCCACACUCUGGAGCGGGUGACGUGCGACGGGGACGACGCCCGCUGUUACCAUGGCAAUGUCACCCUCACAGCAGGGAAGCUCACGGUGCCCAUCUUGGUGUGGAGCUGCCAGGCCCCGUCCUGCGCCGUGCCGCCCAGCCGCCACGUCGGCCCCCUGCACCUCAGCCAGGCCGGCGCCUGCUGCACCGGCAGCUACUGCAACGGGCAGAGGGCCCUGGCACAGGUCUCUGGAAACGUCAGCGAUGACCCCCUCGCCAACACCACGGCCAGGAAAGACCACAAACACCCCGGGCGCAGCCACGGCACGGCUCCCACGAGGCCGCCCUACCUAGACGAUAGCACGGAGACACAAUAUCUGGACCCAGACGUCACCGUCUACGACAACUACACGGAGCCAUCCGACCCCGGCUACAAGGGGGACCUGCCCCACAGCUCCCGCCCCCGCGCCCGCCCCACCGAGCCCGGCAAGAAAAACAGCUACCCCAAAUCCACCGCCCACCCCGGCCACAAGCAACCCAAUCCCGGGGCCCAGGGCUCCCAGGCGCCCGGACUACGCCUCUGCCCCCUGCUGGUGGUGCUGGGGAUAGCCCACCUGUGGCUGUGAGGGGGGCUGGGGGCCAGGACGCCUGGGUCCUCCCCCCAGCUCUGGGAGGGGAGUGGGGUCUAGUGGGUUGGAGCAAGGGGGGCUGGGGACCCAAGAUUCCUGGGUUCUUGCCCCAACUCUUAGUAGCUAUGAGGAAGUCACUCCCCCGCCACACACACACACACACACAUUGCUUGCCUCAGUUUCCCCACAUUGAAAGGGAGGGCUCCUAGAGAUGGGGGGUCGCUCCCCAUUUCCCUGCAUUGCUGCUGAUGAUUUCAGUCCCCA